rnacentral:rRNA from 1 species
GGACAAUGGGCGAAAGCCUGAUCCAGCCAUGCCGCGUGUGUGAAGAAGGUCUUCGGAUUGUAAAGCACUUUAAGUUGGGAGGAAGGGCAGUUACCUAAUACGUGAUUGUUUUGACGUUACCGACAGAAUAAGCACCGGCUAACUCUGUGCCAGCAGCCGCGGUAAUAAGGGAGCCCGCCGCCGCGGUA